AGGGGCUGGCAAGAAAGGGAGGAGGACGUGCCCUGGGAGCUCCAGGGGAAGACCAGAGCUGAGCCCACACCAAGGUGGGAAGCAGAGGAGACACAGCACCUAGUGACUGAGGUUAGGGCUGAAAGCCCGGAAGGCGAUGUUCCCCACAGAUGGGUGGUGGCCGGAUGGGGUGCAGAUAAAGCUGCUGCGAUGGCAGCCUUCAGGGUCUCCCAUUGAACGCCUGAGCCAGAUCAGGAGGAGAAAUAAGAGGACUGCAUCAGUGCUGCAUCAGAGUGUGAGCACAGAGCCUGGUGGAUGAAUAUUGAACACAGUUUGGAGAAGGAGAGAGUGGAGGGGAGAAAGGCCCAGGAGUCCCAGCAGGAAAAGGAGAGGAAGAUGCACCAGGACACAAUGGGGCUUCUCAGGCAGCAGACACAGAUGCAGCAGACUCUGGUGGACCUGCAGCUUCAACAAUCCCAGGCUCACCUCCCUCUGUAGCCCACUGAGAACUCCAUUUUAGGACGUCCGUCUAUCACCAUCAACGUUCCACAUGGCAUCAGAGGUUGCUGCACUGCCCCAACCCUCCACCCUGGGGGACAUUAAAGACAAUCAGAGCUUCACAUACACAGACCUGUGAAAGCCAUGGUUAGUGUAGGUGUAGCUGAAAUGGACACUAAUGGUCUUUUGUCUUAAUAAGUUCUGCUCUCUUAAUUUAUUCAGUUUUAUUAAAUUUUUAAUGGAUUAGUUUUAAAAUGGCAGAGGUUUUUUUGCACUGAAUUUGUUACAGAAUAAAAUUCUAUUAUUUGGAA